rnacentral:rRNA from 1 species
GAUGAACGCUAGCGGCAGGCCUAACACAUGCAAGUCGAGGGAGAAGCCCUUUCGGGGGUGGAAACCGGCGCACGGGUGCGUAACGCGUAUGCAACCUACCUUUCACAGGGGGAUAGCCCGAAGAAAUUUGGAUUAAUACCCCAUAAUAUUAUUGGAUGGCAUCAUUUGAUAAUUAAAACUGCGGUGGUGAAAGAUGGGCAUGCGUCCUAUUAGCUAGUUGGAGUGGUAACGGCACCCCAAGGCUACGAUAGGUAGGGGUCCUGAGAGGGAGAUCCCCCACACUGGUACUGAGACAGGGACCAGACUCCUACGGGAGGCAGCAGUGAGGAAUAUUGGUCAAUGGUCGGAAGACUGAACCAGCCAUGCCGCGUGCAGGAAGAAUGCCUUAUGGGUUGUAAACUGCUUUUAUAUGGGAAGAAUAAGGCGUAACGUGUACGUUGAUGACGGUACCAUAUGAAUAAGCUUCGGCA